AUAAAAGUACAUUUUCUAAUCUCGUACGGGAUGUUCGCGCUACUUCUGGUGCAGGGGUGUCCGUGUACUGCACCAUUCCAGUUUUCACUAAGGGAUUACCAGCUAAGGACAUCUGUCAGAUUUGAUCUGCCAAACACUUCAGGUGCUACUGUUAAAAUACCACAAACUAUUAUGGCGAGGACGAUGAUGGAGAGGAAGGCGGCGGUUGCAAGGGCAGUCAGAAGGAUCACGAUGACGGACAUGGAGUAAGCUGGAGAUGAAGCUGUGGUUGGUGGGAGGCGAGGAAUCUGACGAGGG